rnacentral:snRNA from 1 species
GAAAUGGGUUCUCGCUUCAACACCACAUAUUAGAAUGACACAGAGAAGAUUAGAAUGAUCCCUGUGCAAGGAUGACAUGCAAAUUUGUGAAGCAUUCCACAUUUUU